UUGUUUCUGAGAUGUUGUUAUAUUGUUUGUUAUUUGUAUUGCGACACUGAAAACACUUCCGUUUUGGUCUGUUUGUUGCCGCAGCGAGGGAGUGCCCUGCCCUAGUUCUCGAGCUUGCCUUCUAAGCGACUGAGAAAUUCAUUUGUUUCUCUCUGCUGUUCCGAUUUUGAAACCCGGUCGGAAGGAGGAAGCAAUGGAUGAGGGAAAGCAUAAAUCGAGGAAAGAAAUUCACGAGGUGAAAGAUGGGGAUUCUAAGAGGAGUCACCGCGACCGUGACCGUGAUAGAACUGGAGAAAGGGGUAAGGAUAAAAACGAUGGGAGGCACAGGGAUAGGGAGAAGAGGGAUCGUGAGUCCCGAAGACAUGAACGAGAGAGGAGUACUGAUUCUGAAGACAAGUAUGAUAGAGAGAGGGAGAAGCGAAAAGAUAAAGACAAGGAUGUGGAUAGGGAAAGAGGUCGAGAGAAGAAAAGGGAAAGGGACAGGGACAGGGAUGACAGGGAGAGGACAGACAGAGUAAGGGAAAAGGAGAAAGAGAGGGAAAGAAAAGAGGAUAAGGAGAGGAUCCGAGAGAGGGAAAGGGAAAGGAGGGAUCAUGAGAGAGAGAAGGAAAAGGAAAGAGAAAGGGUGAGGAGAGCACGAGAGAGGGAGAAGCGUAGAGAAGUUGAUAGUGAUUACAGUGAUGGUGAAUCUAGGGAGAGGGAUAGAAAGCGGCACAAGAAAGAAGAUGGUGAUUACAAGAAGAGGGAGAGGGAAAGGAGCGUCAGCAAGCCAAGCAGGCAAUCAGAGGAACGUGAAGGAAGCCCAAGAAAAAAGAUUGUCGGAGAUGACUCAGAUACCAAAGAUGGAGAGAAAAAACCUACCCGUGAAGAGGAGAUGGAAAAUGAACAAAAGAGGUUGGAUGAAGAAAUGGAAAAGCGGAGGAGGAGAGUUCAAGAGUGGCAAGAGCUAAGAAGGAAGAAAGAAGAAGCAGAAAGAGAAAAGCAUGGCGAAGUAAGUACUAAUGAACCCGAGUCUGGAAAGACCUGGACGCUAGAAGGGGAAUCUGAUGAUGAAGAAGGACCGGGUACUGAGAAGCAUGAUACAGGUAUGGAUGUAGAUGAAGAUGACAAACCUGCUGAUAUGGAACCUAAAGAUGUGAUGGUGGUAGACACUGAUAAUGGGACAAUUACAUCUGAUUUACAGGAGGGAACUGCUGGUACACCUGAUGAUGAGGAAAUAGAUCCAUUGGAUGCUUUCAUGAAUUCUAUGGUUCUACCCGAAGUUGAAAAGCUGAACAAUGCUGUGACAUCAGUAAUUUCUGAUAAAGCCAUCGACAUAAAAGCCAAAGAUAAAGGGAAUGAGCAAAGUCGAGGUGCACAGUCAAGGAAAGGUUCAAAUAAGUCUAUUGGCAGAAUAAUUCCUGGUGAAGAGUCUGACUCAGAUUAUGCUGAUGAUGAAGUUGAGAGGGAUCCAUUGGAUGAAGAUGAUGACGAGUUCAUGAAAAGAGUGAAGAAAACAAAAGCCGAGAAGCUUUCUUUAGUUGACCACUCAAAGAUUGACUAUGAACCAUUCAAGAAAACUUUUUAUAUUGAGGUGAAGGAGAUCUCGAAGAUUGCUCCAGAAGAAGCUGCAGCAUACCGGAAACAGUUGGAAUUGAAGAUACACGGGAAGGAUGUGCCAAAGCCUAUAAAAUCAUGGCACCAGACUGGACUUGCUAGCAAAAUUUUGGAGACAAUAAAGAAGAUGAACUUUGACAAGCCUAUGCCUAUUCAAGCUCAGGCACUCCCUGUAAUCAUGAGCGGUCGAGAUUGCAUAGGGAUUGCUAAAACUGGGUCAGGCAAAACACUUGCAUUUGUUCUGCCUAUGCUGAGGCAUAUCAAGGAUCAGCCACCGGUUGUAGCCGGAGAUGGACCUAUUGGGCUUAUUAUGGCCCCUACGAGGGAACUUGUUCAACAGAUUCACAGUGAUAUAAAAAAAUUUGCUAAGGUGCUUGGUCUCAGGUGUGUGCCUGUGUAUGGAGGCUCUGGUGUUGCUCAACAAAUUAGUGAGUUGAAACGAGGUGCUGAGAUAGUUGUUUGUACUCCAGGUAGGAUGAUUGACAUAUUAUGCACCAGUAGCGGAAAAAUAACUAACUUGCGGAGAGUCACUUAUCUGGUCAUGGAUGAGGCUGAUCGAAUGUUUGACAUGGGCUUUGAACCUCAAAUUACACGAAUUGUUCAGAAUAUUCGUCCAGAUCGUCAAACAGUUCUUUUCUCUGCUACAUUCCCUCGUCAAGUUGAAAUUCUGGCUCGUAAGGUUUUGAAUAAACCUGUUGAAAUACAAGUUGGCGGGAGGAGUGUAGUGAACAAAGACAUAUUACAGCUAGUUGAGGUGAGACCAGAUAAUGAAAGGUUCCUUCGACUCUUAGAAAUAUUAGGGGAAUGGUACGAGAAAGGGAAGAUCCUGAUAUUUGUUCACUCCCAGGAGAAAUGUGAUAGUUUGUUCAAGGAUCUGCUCAGGCAUGGUUAUCCAUGCCUUUCUCUUCAUGGGGCUAAGGACCAGACAGAUCGAGAAUCCACAAUAUCUGACUUUAAAAGCAAUGUCUGCAAUUUGUUGGUUGCAACAAGUAUUGCUGCCAGGGGAUUAGAUGUUAAGGAGCUAGAAUUGGUGAUCAAUUUUGAUGUUCCUAACCACUAUGAAGAUUAUGUACACCGUGUUGGACGCACUGGACGAGCUGGCCGCAAGGGUUGUGCCAUUACAUUUAUAUCUGAGGAAGAGGCAAGAUAUGCACCUGAUCUGCUGAAAGCCUUGGAAUUAUCUGAGCAGACUGUUCCCAAUGAUCUGAAAACUCUUGCUGAUAGCUUUAUGGCAAAGGUGAACCAAGGACUGGAACAAGCCCAUGGGACUGGUUAUGGAGGAAGUGGUUUUAAAUUUAAUGAAGAGGAAGAUGAGGUAAGGAGAGCAGCAAAGAAAGCACAAGCCAAGGAGUAUGGGUUUGAAGAAGACAAGUCAGAUUCUGAAGAUGAAGAUGAAGGUAUUCGGAAGGCAGGAGGUGAUAUCUCACAGCAUCCUGCUCUUGCACAGAUUCUUGCUGCCACUAAAGUUAAUGCUCCUGCAUUGCCUACUCCCAUCUCUGCUGCUCAACUGAUUUCGAAUGGUGGACUGCCUGUUUCUUUUCCGUCUGUUCUUGGUCUCCAAACCCCAACAGUUUUGCCUGGGACUGGGCUACCCCUUUCUGCAAAUGAUGGGGCAGCUCGAGCAGCACUAGCUGCGAUGAACCUGCAUCGCAACAUAGAAAAAAUACAAUCAGAAGCAUUACCAGAGCAUUAUGAGGCCGAGUUAGAAAUAAAUGAUUUCCCCCAGAAUGCUCGGUGGAAAGUUACUCAUAAGGAAACAUUAGGCCCCAUAUCUGAUUGGACAGGAGCUGCCAUUACCACCAGGGGACAGUUCUUCCCACCUGGAAAGAUCCCAGGACCUGGAGAACGCAAACUCUACUUGUUCAUUGAAGGUCCUACUGAGCAGUCUGUUAAGACAGCUAAAGCACAGUUGAAACGUGUUUUGGAAGACAUCACAAAUCAGGCUUUGCAACUUCCUGGUGGAAAUCAACCGGGCAAAUACUCUGUUGUGUAAAAGGUCAACGUGAAGGCGUAGUGGGACUCUGUUAAACACUCUUGUGUCGCGCCCCCAAUCUGGGAUGAGUUGCACCUAUUGUCUGCCUUUCUUGUCCAUUCGUUGUCAUACAGGUGGUCUUUGAACCUAUGCUUGCAUGCUCGCUAUUGUUCCAUCUAUCGCGCUUGCAUCGUGACUCUCUAAAGAGCUGAUCGUGGUGCGACUUUUAUUUUAUCUUGGUUCUGUUUGAUUUGAGGCAACCAUUCUCUAAACUCAGAAUUUUUUUUGUCCUGUUAUCUCAUGUACCAGUUGUAGAAUUGAUGAUGCUUAUUUGUCUGAUCAUACGCAUGUAUCUUUCAGGUUUUGAUUCGGUGUCCUUUUGUAAGGGAAACAGGAUUAGAUGGAGAGUCAGUUAUUAAUUCAUUUGCCUUACCAUCAGCACAUGUACCAUAAUAGAAUAUAUAUCUUUCUAGCUAGUUCACUAUAUAUGCUACAUAACACCCAUAAAAUCUUUGGAAUUGCAUUGCUUGUGAAACUCAUCAAUUCUAUUUUCUAUUGUAAUUCUUGGGAAUAUUGACGGAAAGCUCCCAACUAUUGAAUUACUGUACAUUUAUCUAUACUCUGGAGCAAUAUUUAUAUGUACUCACGGUACGGUUCUGAUUUAA